CAGGAGAACCAUUUGGGCAUCAGUCGGAUUGGAGGCGGGAGGUCAAGAUGAACGCGAAGACGCUGGGAGAGGGGAGCAGUGCGGAGGAAGGAGGGCAGAGGCCAAGACCCGGCCAGCAGGACAGCCACCGCGCCGCCUUCCUCUCACCUCCGUGACGCCAUCCUCCUCUGCGUAGUCGCGCCCAGAUGUCGAGUCCUCAUCCACUCAGCUGCUACUGACUAAGCAUCCAGCUGAAACUAUACCUCUGUAGUUGUCGGACGAAACAUAGAUGGAAUCUUAUCCAUUGGUGGAGGAGCUCGAGAGCUCAGUACAGAUCCGCCCAACGUCCCGCACCUCUCAGCCAUCAGGCCCAAUACGUGUUCCAGUUCAGCUUCAUCAUGUCCCAGAGGUUAUAGCACGAAAUUAGCUGAAGUGGACCAAGGUGCACUUUUUGUGUGAGUUGUUCUGCAGGGAAAGCAGUGUUCUCCUCGACGACAACAUCAACAGGUGGUUUUUACACCAUCAGGAUCAGUAAGGAGCAUCCGGAAUUAAAGAACACAUAUGGUUACAAGCAAACUCCCUUUCAAUCCGAGAACAAAGUUCGCUUCUCAAGCGAAACCACUAUACAAAGGCCUAGAGGAAAUAACUGAUUCAUCCUGAGGAAGGUGAGCUCGAAAGUUCAGAUUCCUCAUGGUUGAUGCAUCAGAUGUGAAAACCCAUGCACACUCAAUGUUUGAACUAAUUCACCUCGAAAGUUCAAAUUCCGCUUGGUUGAUGCAUCAAAACCUAUCCACGCUCAAUACGUGAACUAAGUCCCUGCCUGCUUAUGUUGAUAACUCAUUGGUAGUUCCACAACGAAUCCGGGGCAUCUUAGGAAGCGAAUACAGCUAACGUUGCUGCAGUAGCAGAGGUUCCUCAUGUCGGACUCAGUGAUGACACACGUGUGUCUUAUGGAGGAAAUCUGACUGCACAUUGCAUUUCUUGUGAUUGUAAUAUAGUGUAGUCAUGAUCAAAUAUAUCAUUAACGUGAGAUGAGAUAGUGUCGCACAAAUAUGUAUUUCUUGAGUCUUGUUAAUACAUUAUUAUUCAUGCAGAUAAACAUGGUCCAGUCUUUCAGAAGUAUACCAGACUAUGACAGUAACGAAAACAUUGUUGUUGAUUCAGU